GUGGGUAUAGCUCAGUGGUAGACUGCAUAGCUUAUUAGCACGCAUGAGGUCCUGGGUUCAAUCCCCAGUACCUCCU
rnacentral:tRNA from 1 species